AUUUGUUUGUCUAAAUUCUUAUCUUAGAAUAUUUAACAUAUUCUAGAUCUUUAAUUUGUUUUUGUAUUAUUCUCUAUAUACCUAACAUCAGACAUUAUUGGCUUCUUAGUAUUCCUAGGAUAUUAUACACUAACCAAAUGAUACCUAAUUUAAUUGCAGAGGUGUAGUUGUUAGAUCUAUAUGUACACAUUCAAAGGUGGGAAGGUAAGCAGGCAUCAACAGAGUUCAAUAGGUGUAAAUUUGUGCAAUGAACCAAAAAUUCUUAGUUCACCUGAUUCGUCUGAAAGUUUUCUGUUAGAUCCCGGUGACAUGCAAGAAAUGUACAUCCAUCCGAAAGAACCUUCAAUUGCAACAAUUUCAGCAGAUUAAAUACUGUAGUUACAGUCAAAGCACCCCUGGUAAAGUCAUCUAGGCCUGCUGAUUGAGACAGCACUGUUGCUGUACUUAUACUGCGCAAAGGACUGUUUGGAGCAGUUAACCUACAGGUAAAAUUAAUAAACAAUUGUAUAAAUGUGUAAAACAAUAGUUUUGAAAAUGUAGAGUGUAGAUAAAUAAAAAUUUAGGCACUUACUGAGACCUAAAAUCAGCAAAUUCCUGGUAAGAUGCAUUGAAAUGAAGUUGGGUAGCAUCAUAGCAGCUAGUGAUUCUGACUUCACCUAUUUAGCAUGAUAGAUGUAAAUGAAGACUGGCAAACCUAGAAAUAGUGUAAAAGAAUAACCUAACAUUAUAACUUACCAUUGACCACCUUCGCCCGACAUAGCUGUAGUACCAAAAUUAAUGGUUCUUUAAGACCUACAUCAUAGUAGGGUAGCAUGGCAGCAACAUGACUGUCCCACACAGUGCACUGUAAGGUAUUUCCCCUAUAGGCAAGUGUGUUAGAAAAAAAUUAAUGUCUUGAAAUAUAGGAACAGAUUUGUAAUAUGAAACUUACUCAUUAUCAGCCAUUUUAAAGUCUAUGAGUUUUGCUGGUCUACCCACUAUUAUCUUGUCAACUGGAGCAUGGAUCUCUACAACUCUGCCUAUUAAAUCUGUAUCAUCACAAAAUAAAUGAAUAGUAGACGAAAUACAAAAAUAGUUCAAAGAAAAAUAGCAAAAGUAAGAUCAAAAUACUUACCAAACAGAACCUUGUCAUUCACUUGAGUAGGGUC